rnacentral:rRNA from 1 species
AUUGAACGCUGGCGGCAGGCCUAACACAUGCAAGUCGAGCGGCUGAAGGGAGAUUGCUCCUGGAUUCAGCGGCGGACGGGCGAGCAAUGCAUAGGAAUCUGCGUGGCAGUGGGGGAUAACGUCAGGAAACGGGCGCUAAUACCGCAUACGUCCUGAGGGCGUAAGUGGGGGAUCUUCGGACCUCACGCUAUCAGAUGAGCCUAGGUCGGAUUAGCUAGUUGGUGGGGUAAAGGCCUACCAAGGCGACGAUCCGUAACUGGUCUGAGAGGAUGAUCAGUCACACUGGAACUGAGACACGGUCCAGACUCCUACGGGAGGCAGCAGUGGGGAAUAUUGGACAAAGGGCGAAAGCCUGAUCCAGCCAUGCCGCGUGUGUGAAGAAGGUCUUCGGAUUGUAAAGCACUUUAGGUGGGGAAGAAGAGCAGUAAGUUAAUACCUUGCUGUUUUGACGGUACCAACAGAAUAAGCACCGGCUAACUUCGUG